AUGGAAGAAGUGCCAAUAUUCGAUGGAGAGGAGAGUGGAAAAAAGAAGAAUAAGAAGAAGUGCAAGAGAGAAAGGAUAGAGCAAACACAAUGUAAGGCAAAAAUGCUAGUUAAAUUGAAGGAUGGGCGGUGGGAAGUAACCCACUUUGUCCGUGAUCAUAAUCAUCCUUUGGUAGCCAAGCCUUCACUGUCCAACUACUUGCAAUCUCACAUGGGUAUAUCGCCGGAGGAAAAGAGGUUCCUAGAGAUACUCCACAACUGCAACCUAACUUCAGGCCGUAUGAUGACUAUCAUGUCAGAGUUUUAUGUCUCGGAGCUAAAUGUACCGUAUGGACCUAAAGCAAUAACAAACCUAUGUGUUGGCUUCUCCAAGGACUGA
rnacentral:rRNA from 1 species